rnacentral:rRNA from 1 species
AGAGUUUGAUCCUGGCUCAGGAUGAACGCUGGCGGCGUGCUUAACACAUGCAAGUCGAACGAUCCUUCGGGAUAGUGGCGGACGGGUGAGUAACGCGUGGGAAUCUGCCCUCAGGAGGGGGAUAACGGCUGGAAACGGCCGCUAAUACCCCAUAUGCCGAGAGGUGAAAUGAAUUUCGCCUGAGGAUGAGCCCGCGUCUGAUUAGCUAGUUGGUGGGGUAAAGGCCUACCGAGGCGACGAUCAGUAGCUGGUCUGAGAGGAUGAUCAGCCACACUGGGACUGAGACACGGCCCAGACUCCUACGGGAGGCAGCAGUGGGGAAUUUUCCGCAAUGGGCGAAAGCCUGACGGAGCAACGCCGCGUGAGGGAUGAAGGCCUCUGGGCUGUAAACCUCUUUUCUCAAGGAAGAAGAACUGACGGUACUUGAGGAAUAAGCCACGGCUAAUUCCGUGCCAGCAGCCGCGGUAAUACGGGAGUGGCAAGCGUUAUCCGGAAUUAUUGGGCGUAAAGCGUCCGCAGGCGGCCUUGUAAGUCUGUUGUUAAAGCGUGGAGCUCAACUCCAUUUAAGCAAUGGAAACUACAAGGCUGGAGUGUGGUAGGGGCAGAGGGAAUUCCCGGUGUAGCGGUGAAAUGCGUAGAUAUCGGGAAGAACACCAGUGGCGAAGGCGCUCUGCUGGGCCAUAACUGACGCUCAUGGACGAAAGCCAGGGGAGCGAAAGGGAUUAGAUACCCCUGUAGUCCUGGCCGUAAACGAUGAACACUAGGUGUCGGGGGAAUCGACCCCCUCGGUGUCGUAGCCAACGCGUUAAGUGUUCCGCCUGGGGAGUACGCACGCAAGUGUGAAACUCAAAGGAAUUGACGGGGGCCCGCACAAGCGGUGGAGUAUGUGGUUUAAUUCGAUGCAACGCGAAGAACCUUACCAGGGUUUGACAUCCUGCGAAUCCCUUGGAAACGAGGGAGUGCCUUCGGGAGCGCAGUGACAGGUGGUGCAUGGCUGUCGUCAGCUCGUGUCGUGAGAUGUUGGGUUAAGUCCCGCAACGAGCGCAACCCACGUCUUUAGUUGCCAGCAUUCAGUUGGGCACUCUAGAGAGACCGCCGGUGAUAAACCGGAGGAAGGUGUGGAUGACGUCAAGUCAUCAUGCCCCUUACAUCCUGGGCUACACACGUACUACAAUGCUACGGACAAAGGGCAGCAAGCUCGCGAGAGUUAGCAAAUCCCAUAAACCGUGGCUCAGUUCAGAUCGUAGGCUGCAACUCGCCUACGUGAAGGAGGAAUCGCUAGUAAUCGCAGGUCAGCAUACUGCGGUGAAUACGUUCCCGGGCCUUGUACACACCGCCCGUCACACCAUGGAAGUUGGCCAUGCCCGAAGUCGUUACUCCAACCCUUGUGGAGGAGGACGCCGAAGGUGGGGCUGAUGACUGGGGUGAAGUCGUAACAAGGUA